GACGAACGCUGGCGGCGUGCUUAACACAUGCAAGUCGAGCGGUAAGGCCCUUUCGGGGGUACACGAGCGGCGAACGGGUGAGUAACACGUGGGUGACCUGCCCUCAGCUCUGGGAUAAGCCUGGGAAACUGGGUCUAAUACUGGAUAUGACUCCACGGUGCAUGUCGUGGGGUGGAAAGCCUUGUGCGGCUGAGGAUGGGCCCGCGGCCUAUCAGCUUGUUGGUGGGGUGANGGCCUACCAAGGCGACGACGGGUAGCCGGCCUGAGAGGGCGACCGGCCACACUGGGACUGAGACACGGCCCAGACUCCUACGGGAGGCAGCAGUGGGGAAUCUUGCGCAAUGGGCGAAAGCCUGACGCAGCGACGCCGCGUGAGGGAUGACGGCCUUCAGGUUGU
rnacentral:rRNA from 1 species